rnacentral:rRNA from 1 species
UGUGCUAAUACCGCAUAAUCUCUGAGGAGAAAAGCAGGGGAUCGCAAGACCUUGCGCUUUUGGAGCGGCCGAUGCCUGAUUAGCUUGUUGGUAAGGUAAAAGCUUACCAAGGCUUCGAUCAGUAGCUGGUCUGAGAGGACGGCCAGCCACACUGGGACUGAGACACGGCCCAGACUCCUACGGGAGGCAGCAGUGGGGAAUUUUGGACAAUGGGGGCAACCCUGAUCCAGCCAUGCCGCGUGAGUGAAGAAGGCCUUCGGGUUGUAAAGCUCUUUCAGCCGGAACGAAACGGUUACGGUUAAUACCCGUGACUAAUGACGGUACCGGAAGAAGAAGCACCGGCUAACUACGUGCCAGCAGCCGCGGUAAUACGUAGGGUGCGAGCGUUAAUCGGAAUUACUGGGCGUAAAGCGUGCGCAGGUGGUUUUGUAAGUCAGAUGUGAAAUCCCCGGGCUCAACCUGGGAACUGCGUUUGAAACUACAAGACUAGAGUGUGGCAGAGGGGGGUGGAAUUCCGCGUGUAGCAGUGAAAUGCGUAGAGAUGUGGAGGAACACCGAUGGCGAAGGCAGCCCCCUGGGUCAACACUGACGCUCAGGCACGAAAGCAUGGGGAGCAAACAGGAUUAGAUACCCUGGUAGUCCAUGCCCUAAACGAUGUCAACUAGUUGUCGGGCCUUUACGGGCUUGGUAACGUAGCUAACGCGUGAAGUUGACCGCCUGGGGAGUACGAUCGCAAGAUUAAAACUCAGAUGAAUUGACGGGGACCCGCACAAGCGGUGGAUUAUGUGGAUUAAUUCGAUGCAACGCGAAAAACCUUACCUACCCUUGACAUGUAUCGAAGCCCGCAGAAAAGCGGAGGUGCCCGAAAGGGAACGAUAACACAGGUGCUGCAUGGCUGUCGUCAGCUCGUGUCGUGAGAUGUUGGGUUAAGUCCCGCAACGAGCGCAACCCUUGUCAUUAAUUGCCAUCAUUUAGUUGGGCACUUUAAUGAGACUGCCGGUGACAAACCGGAGGAAGGUGGGGAUGACGUCAAGUCCUCAUGGCCCUUAUGGGUAGGGCUUCACACGUAA